rnacentral:rRNA from 1 species
AUGUUACAAGGAUGGCUACAGAUCCGAUUGAUUAUGCAAGAAUUUUUGGCUAGCUUUAUAAAGCGGGGGAAAUGCAGAAUAAUUAAACCAAAAUCUCUUAUGUGGUUCACCAAAGUUGAGCGUUUUGUCCAGCCAAGUGCUGCCUCCACUGCCAGCACUUGUAUGCUUUGUUACACGAACGGCAAUGAUGCAACAUCUGCUUUAUGGAAUCUUCCAUUUUUAUUCUGCGGAAAAGAAGAAGAGGAAGAGGAACACACACUUUUUGUCAGGUGUAUGCAUCACCGAUUCACCGCCACAUAA